GCCCAGAUGACGCUCAGUGGCUGGGCUGAAGGCUUCAAACCUGGAGCUGUCUAGUGACAGAGUGGGUCAUUUCUGCCUUUCAGGCA